ACGUAGGGACCAAGCGUUGUUCGGAUUUACUGGGCGUAAAGGGCGCGUAGGCGGCAAUUCAAGUCAUCUGUGAAAUCUCCGGGCUUAACUCGGAACGGUCAGAUGAUACUGCUUUGCUAGAGUGCAGAAGGGGCAAUCGGAAUUCUUGGUGUAGCGGUGAAAUGCGUAGAUAUCAAGAGGAACACCUGAGGUGAAGACGGGUUGCUGGGCUGACACUGACGCUGAGGCGCGAAAGCCAGGGGAGCAAACGGGAUUAGAUACCCCGGUAGUCCUGGCCCUAAACGAUGAAUACUUGGUGUCUGGAAUUAUUAUUGUUCCGGGUGCCGUCGCUAACGUUUUAAGUAUUCCGCCUGGGGAGUACGCACGCAAGUGUG
rnacentral:rRNA from 1 species